AUUCAGUUGAUUAACCCCUUGAUGACAAUUGCCGGUCCUGGCACGACACGCAAAAGCAUGUGCUUUAUGACAAUUGACGUGCCAGGACCGGCACGUCAUUAAACGGGUGCAGAAAGCGAUCUGUUUUCGCUUUCUGCUCCCAAAAAACGUUGCUGAAUGCCUCGACCUCGAGGCAUUCAGCAACGCCACGAUCGGAACGAAGGGGCCAUCUCUGGCCCCUCCACGGGGCGUCAACAUCCGCCAUACUUUGUAUGGCGGCGGACGCCCGUUUUAAAAGCUUCGCUAGAUGGUCCAGACCAUCUAGAGAACUUUGGCUCCACUUGCAGGUUGAAUACAGGUACUGCAUUCACCAUGCAAGUCAAUGGAGCCCAGCUUUCUAAUCACAGUGUGAUUAGUAAAAAUAAAUUAAAAAAUAAAAUAAAAUUAAUAAUAAUUAGAAAAAAAAAUAGUAAAAAACUAGUAAAAUGUAAAAAUCAUUUCCCACUGAUGUCACUAUCAGGGGAACCUCCAAGUUGAAAAAAAUGUUAAAAAUUUUUUUAAAAAAAGACAAAAAAAAUAAAAAAAAUAUAUAUAAAAAAUAUAUUUUUGUGAGCAAGUCCUAAAAUUAGGAUAUUAGCUUAAAACAAUUCUCGCAUGGAAAGAGUUAAAAUACUGGCAUAUGAAAUGCCCGUGGGGUGUCUACUUUUAAAAAAUGUAUGAUUUGAUGGGGUAAAUUGAAUUGGCCAGGUUCAACAACGUCCCAAUUAACACGGGGGGAAGGAUGGCCACACAUCUAAUUUCCAAUUAGAAAAAUGCACACGUACCAAAUGUGGCCUUUUAGUUCCCCAAAAAAAUGACACACCCAUGCAUGUGGGGUAUCACUGCACUCAGGAGAUGUUGCUGAACACAUUAUGGGGUGUCGUGUGACAGCGGCAUAUACCAGGAACUGUAAAUUCAUACAUAAAGUAGGUGUGUGUGGGAAAAAUACACACACAAAAAUACUACUGCAAACUUUGAAAAAAUGCUGGUGGUAAAAUGUGUGCAUGCAAAGAGUUAAAAUACCAGCAUUUAAAAUACCCUGUGGUGUCUAGUUUUGAAAAAUAUAUGGGUUUAUUGGGCACACUGAAAUGGCCCGGCUCAAAGAUGUACCAAAUAGGGCAUGGGCAGUGGAUCCCCAAAUGCCAAAGUUCAACAUUGAAAAAUGCGCAUGCCCCAAAUGUGGCCCUUUUGCCCCCAAACAGCCAGGCAAAAUCAUUCAUGUGGGGUAUCACUGCGCUCAGGAGAUGUUGCUGAACACAUAUUGGGGUGUUUUGUGAUAGUGACAUAAACGAGAACAUUUUAAUUCUUACCUGAAGUAAAAUGUGUGUGACAAAACAAAUGCAAAAAAAUGACUACCACAAAGUUUGACAAAGACUGGUGGUAGAUACGGUGCAUGGAAAGAGUUAAAAUACUAGCAUUUGGAAUACCCAGGGCUGUCUAGUUUUCAAAAAUAUAUGACUUGAUGGGGUAAAUUGCAUUGGCCGGGUUCAAAGAUACCCGAAAUGGCACAUGGGGGGAAGAAUUACCAGAUUUGGAAAAAAUGGCUUUGAAAUAGCAAAACGCUACUUGUACUUAUUGCCCCAUAAUGGGUAGAAAAAAGCAAAAAAACAUAAAAACAUUGGGUAUUUCUAAACUCAGGACAAAUAGUAGAAUCUAUUUAGCAGGUUUUUUCAUUACCUUUUAUAGAUGAGUAAAAGAUUUUUCAACUAAAAGUUAAAAACAGUCAUUUUUUUCUAAAUUUUUCACCAUAUUUUAUAAUUUUUUUAAUAGUAAAUAAUAUGAUACAAUCAAAACAAUGUCAUCUAAAGAAAGCCCUUCUUGUCCUGAAAAAAACAAUAUCUAAUGUGUGUGGGUUCAGUAAACGGGAAAGAAGAAAAUUACAGCUAAACGCGAGCAGCGCAGAAAUGUUAAAAAGGCCAUUGUCACCAGGGGAACAAACAGUAAAAUCAGCCUUUGUCACGAAGGGGUUAAUA